rnacentral:tRNA from 1 species
GCUUGGAUGAUGUAAUGGUAGCAUGAUGGUCUCCAAAACCAUUCGUAAAGGUUCGAAUCCUUUUCCUCGUG